rnacentral:lncRNA from 1 species
AAGAACACAAAUCACAGGAAAAUUCAACACAACGAAAAUAUCAAUUGCUCAACACAAAUNAACAUCACAGAAUUUUUAUUAAAACGAACAGAAAAUACAAGAAUGUACCAAAGAAGAACAAGCAAGAACAUGAGAACUGGAAUCUACCGGAAACGAUAAAACCCUAGAUUCUCGCGUCGCUCUCUAAGAAAUGGAAAAUGUUUUUUUUUCUUGAAAGUGUAUCCGUCCAAGUCUAUGUACAAAAACCCCUUUUAUAUAGGGUCCAAAACUAGAACGAAGAAAGAAAAAAUCUGGAGAAGAGAAACCUUCACUUGGACGCUUCCUGCUCUUGAUCCAGCGGUCACUGUUCAUUUGCUUCGAGCUUGCUCUUCCAGCCAUUUGAUCCUCCACGUGGCACUCCGGUCAGCUCUUCUCUCUCACCGGUUCAGCUCCGGUCACGUACUCUCACCUCUUGCUUCUCUCAUUCUCUCGUGAACCCUAGCCCGAGGGUAUUCUCUUCUCUUCUCUUCAAAAAAAUAUGUCUCGAGCAUUGACCCCCAAAAGCUUCCACUGCCAAGACACCAAACUCACCGUUUCAUUAAAGGAGGGUCGGCCCAAUCCAAUACUCUACUUUAGUUCAGCACCGCUUCAUUAAACAACGCUGCAGCAGUGCAAUUUAGAAUCAAGUUCAGCAUUCUAGGGCCCAAGUGUUUUUCCAGCCCAAUUGAAUUUCUGCAGUGCAGCGACAGUUCAUUUAAUUCCAGCAGCAGCAGUUCAGCGGUGCAAAACAGCUCGGCAGCAGCAAUGCGUCAAACAGCAGCAACGGCCCAAUCCCAGCGGCCCAAACUAUUGCUCACAUAUUCAACCCUGCAGAGAAAACAAAUGNAAUUUAAUUUCCAAAAAUACGAAUUCCC